CAGACGGAACGGAAGCAAACAACUCAUCUUUCCGCCUGCUUUUUUCAUCACGUACACGUUAGCCUACUCAAAAGGACUCUCUCUCUCUCUCUCUCUCUCUCUUAGUUUUCUCUGGUUUUGCACGCUGGAUGAUCCUGCAUUGCAAGAGUCCUGGGCAGCCACAGGCAGAGGUGGCUCUUAGCCGGGAAUCUUGACCAUCACCGUCGGAAUUCUGCGGGCUAAGCCAGUCCCGGUGACCGCUGGGCCGGCUGACCGCACACUGCUGGACCAGUACACGGAAGAUGUAUGAGGCUAGAGGCAGGGAGCACCAAGCCGCCUCCCCAAACCACCACCACCUCCAGACCCUGCCCGAAAUAUCCACACACCCAGCUGCUAUGUCGUGGUGUCCCAAGACCGGAAGUUGCGAAAGCAUUAACACACGGUGCAGCAGCCAUGCGCACAUGGGCAUUGCUGCUCCGCCACUUCCUGUGUUUUUGGAUUUAUUCAAGAAGCACAGAGGAGCUAGCGUGCAUAGUGGCGCAGCGGUCAAGCCCUUGCCUGUGACGCCUGCAGCCCCCUAGGGCGCUGAUUUGAGUCCGGCUGCUCCACUUUCCAUCCAGCUCCCUGCUAAUGCGCUUGGGAAAGCAGCGGAGGAUGGCCCAUGUGCUUGGGCCCCUGACACCCACAUGGGAGACCCGGAUGAAGAUCCAUCAUCCCCAAACUGAUGCUCUGUCCCCACCCAAACACCCACUCCCCCUUCCCCAGCUCCCCCCGCCCCAGCCCCAGCACCUAUCUUUCUAUGUUCUGUCUCCGGGAGCCUGGCCACCCUGGGGACUCGUGUGAGUGGACUCACACAGCGUUUGUCAUUCUCGUGUCUGGCCAGCUUCAUUGUGAGCGUCACGUCCUGAGGAUUCAUCUGUGUCGUAGGCUGGGUCAGGAUGUUCACGGGUGUGGGUUAUAUCUCAUUUAAAACGCCCUAGCCUGAGACAAUGGUGCUGCACGCAACAACCCUAAAAACUUCUCAAUGGUUCACCUGAAGUGGGUGAAUUGUAUGCUCUGUGAGUUGCCUCAAAAAAGGGCUCAUUUGAAAAAAUACUGGCCGGCGCCACAGCUCACUAGGCUAAUCCUCCGCCUGCGGCGCCAGCACCCCGGGUUCUAGUCCCGGUUGGGGCACCGGAUUCUGUCCUGGUUGCCCCUCUUCCAGGCCAGCUCUCUGCUGUGGCCCGGGAGUGCAGUGGAGGAUGGCCCAAGUGCUUGGGCCCUGCCCCCCAUGGGAGACCAGGAGGAAGCAGCGCGCUGGCCAUGGCGGCCAUUUGGGCGGUGAACCAACGGAAGGAAGACCUCUCUCUCUCUCUCUCUCUCUCUCUCUCUCUCUCUCUCUCUCUCUCACUGUCUAACUCUGCCUGUGGAAAAAAAAAUACUAAUAGGGGCCGGUGUUGUGAUGUAAUGGGUUAAGCUGCCACCUGCGAUACUGACGUCCCAUAUGGGCACCGGCUUGAGUCCUGGCUGCUCCACUUCAUAGCUCUCUGCUAUGGCCUGGGACAGCAGUGGAGGAUGGUCCAAGUGCUUGGGCCCUGCACCCAUGUGGGAGACCUGGAAGAAGCUCCUGGCUCCUGGCUUCAGCCUGGCCCAACCCCAGCUGUUGUGGGCAUAUGGAGAGUGAGCCAGGGGGUGGAAGAUCUCUGUCUCUCUGUGUGUGUCUCUCUCUCCACAACUCUGCCUUUCAAACAGAUUAAAAAAAUAGAUCUUUUUUUUUAAAAAAAAAAAAAAGGAAGAAAUCUGGACACAGACACAUACAGAGGGAGGCCAGUGAGGAAACAUGGAGGAGACAGUGCCCACCUUGGUCAAGGGCAUAGGAGGAGCUGGGGGCCUGCAGCGUGCCCCCUCAGCCCCCUCUGUGUCCACGGUGGUGUCUUCACAAGGACUACACCAAAGCAAAGGCGAGGGGUUCUGGGGCCAGUGUCCCUGGAGGAGAGGUCCCUCACCAGCCUGUGCACCUGCCACGUGAGCGUUCUGCGCUCUGGGGUUAAUUCACUGGGAGGGAGAGAGACUCCUGCGUAACAAGCGUAACAAUCGAGGGCUCAGAUGCACAGAAGGACCCAGCUGAAAUGGGGCAGGGCGUGGGGGAAGGGCAAGUGGCUCCCGUGGGCAAUGGGGAGGGGCGUCGGGGGGAGUGAGUCACACGCAGGAAGGAGUCGUGUGCACAGGAAAGCCUCUGUCGAGCCCUGCCCUCCACCCCCACCCCCCGGGGUGUCCACGGCUUGGCCAGUGCCCCCUUCCCUGGCCAGGCCGGGUGGGGACAGCGUCAGGCCCCACCGCCACCGUGGAAUGAGCCCUCACUCAGCGGGCAGAGCGCCUUGCCCUGGCGCCUGAGACAGCUCCAUUCAGCAGUCCCGGGGCCCCCAGCCAAGCCAAACACCCUGAUUUGUGUGGGGUUUUUCUUUCCCAGCCGAAGCAGGGCAGCGGGCGGGUGGGGCCUCAGCAGCCUCAGCACGCACAGGGACCUUUCUCCUCUGUCCCUGGGGGUCUUGGCCCCCCACCCACCCUGCAGGGCUCCAGACUUCCCUACACAGAACCAAGUCUCAGAGGCACCCUGGGGUCACAGGCCACGGGAGACCAGAUGGCCCCUCCCCAGCCAGCUGGCCACCCUGUCACCUCCUCCUCCCUCUCCCUCCCUCCCUCCCUGCCCCUCACACACACCUGGCCAGCCCCCUCCUGUGCACGGUCGCCCCACACAUGACCCUCACCUGGAUCUGGGGUGUGAGUCCCCCCCCCGCUGCCCACUGCUGUCCCCCACAUUGCAACGGCUUUUCCGAGACUGAGCAAUACGGGUCACCCCCUUCUGCAGAAUGGAGAUCCAAGACUGACAACCCCACCCCCAAGGCGGUAGACAUCAGUGGUGUCCCUCCCGCCCUGAACACAGCGGCAGGGACACAGGCCCCAGUGCGUCUGUCCUGUGUGCGGGAGCCAUCGGCCUCAGAGACCUGAAGCCACCGUGCUUUCAGGACGCCAGGCUAGCCCGCCUGCAGACAGGGUUUCCAGGCUAGCCGACCACAAGAAAUGAUCUAAAGAAGCCCCGAGCCUCCGUGGAAAGAAAGAUGCCCAGUGAGCUGCCCCCAGCUCUGACCACCAUCUGCUUGAAUUUGCAUGUCUCCAGCUAAGAGGCAGCAAGGGGUGAGCACUUUGUAAGCACAGAGCGAGUCGAGAAAGAAACCCAUGGUAUAGACAGCCGGUUGAUUUCCAUUCUAGGUGACGUGGCUGGAAAAAUGGAAGAGGAGCGUAACGAACCUUGACCUCUAGCUAACGCCAUCAGCAAAACGAAUUCGGGAGGGAUCCGAGGGGUGCAUCAGCAGGGAGCUGGGUUGGAGGAGGAGCAGCAGCGACUUGAACCUGAGCCCACAUGGGAUGCGGUGCCGCAGGACAGGUGGAGGUUUAACCCACUGGGCCACAGCACUGGCCCCUCCAUUUUUCUCAUUAGCAUUUACACCUGCGAGAUUUGUUUUCCGGAGAGGCGGACAGAGAGACAGCGGCAGAGAGCUCCCUGUUCACUCCCCAAACACCCACAAGAGUCAGGGGUGACCUGGAGCCAUGAACUGAGUCCGGGAUCUCCGACGUCGAACUGAAGCUGCUUCCUCCCCAGGCUCCUCACCUGCUGCCUUUCAUUUUUCCUUCUCUCUUUCCCCUUGGCUCACUGCAGACCCUUUCAAACGACAGCAGAGAGUGGUCCGUUUGUUUGGAGAGAGCAUUCGAACGAGGGACUGAGGCCAGGCGGCAGCUGGUGGCCAAGUCCUGCAGGCCUGGGUAGGGCCUCCAGCUGCCGCCGGGCCGGGCACAUCUGGGUCUGGAGCUCACCUUCAGCUUCGUAGUGGAGCGCGUGGGAAACAUCUUCACCUGUCCACUCAAGAGGUGGACUCAGAGGGCCGGCGCUGUGGCGUAGCGGUUAAAGCCGCCGCCUGCAGUGCCAGCAUCCCAUAGGGGCGCCGGUUCGAGUCCCAGAUGCUCCACGUCUGAUCCAGCUCUCUGCUGUGGCCUGGGAAAGCAGCAGAAGAUGGCCCAAGUCCUUGGGCCCCUGCACCCGCGUGGGAGACCCAGAGGAAGCUCCUGGUCCUGGCUUUGGAUCGGUGCAGCUCCAGCCACUGCGGCCAACUGGGGAAUGAAUCAGUGGAUAGAAGACCUCUCUCUCUGCCUCUCUUCUCUCUGUGUAACUCUUGACUUUCAAAUACAUAAAUAAAUCU